GAAAAAACCUGUGUUAUAUCACAUGUUCAUCUACUGCCUGCAUUCCACCUCCUGCCGCAGGCGCUGCCGCUUCCCUGCAUGCCCCGGGAACUGCGGACUGUUCAGGUGCUGUGGGGCUACAAGGACAAUCUGAUCUGCUUCAGCUUCUUCUAUGCUCUUUGCUGGGUCACUUCUUAGGAAGAAGGUGGGUCAUCCCAUAUGAUUUCUUUCCCCUCCCUGCCUUGGCCACCAUGUCCACCCUGGGAAGGUGAUUGCCAUGGCCCAGAAUGACGUUUCUCCCUCUUAGCAAAGUGAGCUUGCAGCGCUGAGCCCCUCUCCCCAGACUGAGUGCUGUCAAAAUUGCUGCAUUCCAAAGGAGCCUCAUUCUACAGGUAUUUCCUUUCUGCUCUGCUAUGUGUCUGUGUAUCAGUUAGGAGGCUGAGAACAGCUGAGCAUCAGCGAUCUCCUUGUGCUGUGUUCCAUCCUGCGGCUCGUCGCUCCAUCACUGAGGUACAUUAUCCUACUCUCUAAACCAAGCAUGUGCCCAGGAGAUAAACCAAUUGUUUUUUUGUGCUGCUUUCUAUUUAGAUCCAUAGGCUUCAUUUCAGCUCUUUGGCAAUGCUUCUUCUAACCUUGCUGCAAGAAGUCCUUGUGGCCAAUGCAUCCUCCCUAACGAGGCUGACGGGCUGCUGGCGAAAGGUGCCAGAGGAUGGAAGCUGGCAUGCUGAGGGCUUCUGUCCUGCGGUGCAGGCUGCUGGGAUCUGCCUUCCAUUGUGCUACUGAAACAUCAUCAAAGCCAGGAAAUGGGAGUGCCAUUCCAGUGAAAACCUUUGCAGUGCUGCAGCAGAGAGCCUUAAAUUCAAAGCAGUACUUUAAAAAUCAGAACUAGAAGGCGCUGCAUUAGGCCAGUGAAUGAUUCCAGCUUACACUGCCCACACAUUUGGGAAGGCUGCUUCAUCACUUCACUGCUACAUUUGUCACCUGACACCUGAGGACAGGUCACUGGAUCACAGUUCCUUACUGCCCUGCAGCUGGGGAAGGAGUUUGCAGCCCUUCUGCUGAGAAGACAGGGCUGGGUCUGCAGCCAUUAAAAGGAGCAGAAGAAGAUUUCCUCGAAUUCCUGCAUUGCUGUGAGCUGACACAAGGGCACGGCGCUCCACGCAGCAACCACCAGAUGUGCAGUGCAGGUUAUCUCUUCGCUUGUCUAAUCAAGUCUGGAAAAAAUAAUUGUCAUUAAUUCACUGACCUGAACCUGGGCCGAGCUGUUCUGUGCACUGGCUGAAUGUGACAACUAAUCCAACAGAAAUAUGCAUUAUAUUCCCCUACAUUGCCACCUUGAAACGUCCCGGCACUGCCUCCCUGCAGUACUGGUGCUGCCACAGGGACAGGGACACGAGCUGAAGUCUCCAUGAAGUCCUGUAUGGAACAAAGGCCAGAAGGAAGUCAUGAUUUCAGUGUGUCUACUGUACUGGAAGGAAAAACAGAACAAACAGAUCCUCCUUGAAACUCUUCCCACAACCAAACUUUUAAUGUUUUUAUGAGAGAUCUGCACAUGUAUUCACAUUUAUCAGCAUAUGCAAAUCUCCCACUGAAGGGAAGCAGGCUGUGUCAGAGCAGUGGAGGUAGAAGCUGACAGUAGAUCUCUACAGCUGUCAAAACAACGGCCUGGUAGAAUGCAGCCAUCAAAACACGAGUCUUGUGUGCACAUCUCAGACUUGGCUGUUCAAUCUCUUGCACCAGAAGCUCCUAUGGCAAAUGUUUUUGAAACACGGAUGAUCCGAGUGCAUCAGAAAGAAAGCAAUAGCUGUGACAUCUUGGUCUCCAUCCUCAAAAGGCACUGGGAAUUCCAAACAAUCUAGUAAUUGGAAUUCAUAGCUAGUUUCUGUAUGAAAAGUCAGCUGUAGAAAAUAGUGUGUUUGAAAGUAUCCCCUACUCCAUACAUCAGCAUGUAACCCGGAAGCUUUCCUUCCUUGCAGUUCCCUUUGGGUUGCUUUUCCCAGUAAGAGGUCCUACCCCCUUUUUGACCAGAGGCUCUUGUGGUAAAGGGGAGCGCUGUGGGACUUCCAAGCUGGAGUGGAGGGAGAAGCGGGUAGUGAGGCAAUGCUGUGCUAUUGGAAGUUGUGCUGUUGUAAACCAUGGGAACAGCUGACCUGAGGAAUCUGCGAGAAACAAUCCUCUAUCGUCAGACACUGAAUAAUCUAAUGACUUAUUUCAGUUUCUUAAAAAUUGCCUUUUCAUCAGUUGAAAGUUGCAAAUUGCUGGUUUAAUGAGUCCCAAGCAGAGAAAAUAGAAGUAAAAAUAUAUGCAUCUUAUCUAAUAAAUGCUGAGCACUAGACAGGCAUGACUAAAGCAAACUAACCUGCAGAUUUUAAAUCUCUUAGGAUCUGUUGCAGACAGCUUGGUUCAAAACAGCCAACGAAAGAACAGAGCUGCAGCAGGUCUGCCUCGGCACCACUUGCUGCAGCUCCUGGAGGAGCAGCGUUGCAUUUUCUGUUUGGUAAACUGCUGACAGUGCUAACAGUACCAUCUUUGAAACAGCAAACUGAGCAUGUGCCAUCCCUUUGAAGGACACAUGCUGAAAUGCAGGAUGAGUAGUUCCAGAUAAGCCAGCACAGUAUGUCAGUACCUUCAGCGUGUUGCACAAACUUGCUGAUAGGGGACAAAACAAAAACCACAGAAACAAAAGCAGCUCAACAUAUUGUUCUGGUGAAAUGAGAACUCUCUCCCCAGUGUCUGUAUGCUUUGUUUAAUGGAUCAUGGGAGCCUCAGGAUUCACCAGUGUCUCACGAAGCUGCACCAGGCGAUGGCAGAUGGCAGCAGGAGCACGCGGUGCAAGAAUGCGCCCUUCUCUUAAAUGCAGCAUGAGGGUGGAGGCCCUGGGCUUCUUUCCACGCAUGACUCAAAUGAAUCUUCUGCCUAAUGAGUAGCAUUUUGAAGUCAGCUUAAAAAUCCUAUAGUGAUCCUAUCUAACCAGCUUCUCCUACGUAAAGAUUAAUUUUUUAUAAUGGUGGUUUUCUUUCCAGUUGCCCAGGGCAGUUAUUUGCUAGGGCAGCCUCCUAUCAGCUGAGAUAACAAGGGCAAAGACUGACAGUCCAGCAGAGUCUGGGUUGUGCUCAUUUCUGGGGGAGCAGCGGAUACUAUUAAUGGUGUUCAGGCCUAAAUGGAACCAAGUGUCUCAUUGGGAAAAUAUGUUGGGGAGAAAGGGCUGUGCUAGGGGGCUGCAUACCCAGAUUGUGCUCCUGUUGGAUGACUGGCUGAUAAAACCAGCACUCCUAUAUAACCUUGCAAAAGUCAUUAAUGAAGCUUCAGUGCCUCACAGUGAUGGUGGUGCUCCCAGCUGAUGGAGACAUGCUGGAGCAAGCUGCAGUAACAGUGUCUGACUGGCAGUCUUCCCUGCUGGGUGCUGCUGUCAGGAAGGCACAGUAGAGACUACGUAGGCAUAUUGAAAUAGGGUAUGAGAUCAAAUCAUCUAAAAGAUCUGCAAGGACCCUUGUUGUCUUCUUCCUUGCAGUUUGCAAAUUGCUGCUGUAUACUGAUUUUAUCUGAUUUCAAAUGUAGCUUAAGAGACUGUUUGGUAGGCAAGAGCAUCUCUAAACUAGUGGUGAGCCUUUGGGGGCUGUGUGGCAGGUGACACAGGCUGGAGGUUUCCAUAAGUAUAGGAUCCAGUUGGCAGCAUAGGCUGGUGCCCUUGGAGGUGGUAUUGCUGCAAUGGGCGAUCUGUGUCCUCAGCUGAGCACUGGCACAGAACUAGCUGUGGAUGGCAGAGCCUCGAUUUCUUCUUCCAAGUAGCAAUGGGCUGCAAAAAUUAACAUGAGUAAAAUCCAUCUCCAUCCUAGGAACAUGUAAACAUCUGGACGAGUAGUUAUGAAGAUUAAUGUUAUGCACAGGGUAAGAAUUCCCACUGACAUUUGCUCAGUUUGCCCAAGCAAGUUAGUGGAAACCUCCUGUGAAUAUGAACCGUACUCUGCAGUGCUGCGCAGGCAUUUAACAGCUUGGAUGCCAGUCUCCUUACAGGCACAUCAGUAAGUCUUAGUCUUUAAUUGCCUUAAAAUAUAAUAUUGGAAGAAAAAAAAAGUCAUAGAGGUAUGUGUAACUUUUAAGACUAAGUGGAAAAGAAGUAAACAACAAUAAAGUUAUCCCCAUCUUUGGACUUAAAAUCAGUCCUGACUGAGGCAGUUCUUCAAGGAGAGUGGGUGACAGCUGUCUGUCAGGUCUGAGCAACACGUCUUCUGCACUGAUGAUCAAUGCCUGAAAUAACGCUGAGGUGCAGCAGUAGCUGUGUAUCAUUCAUAGGAGGGUGGCAGCUGCUCCAAGUACAGCACUGAGCGUGAAUGCCUGCUGUCUCGUGGUCAGUGGUUACUGCUGUGCCUGAAGCCUGGCUGUGCCUGUGGUCAGAUGCUCUGACAUCAAAGGUACUGUUGGCUCCUUUGGGCUGGUGAACUUUAUUGAAAGCAUGCCAUGUUUGGAGUCCCAUGAGCAGGUAACGUGCAUCCAUCUGAGCGUGCAGGUUUGAACGUGUCUGCCAUAAGGUAUUUGAAUCUGGAGGCAAUGUGAUUCUUGCUAUGCAAUAAAAUCAAGAAUACACAGUCUUUUAGUGUCUAAACCCCUCCCAGUCCUCCCCUAUUCUGAACGUACUGUUAUCAUUACACCGAUACUUGCUGUGUAAUACACUUUAAAUGAGUGUGAAUGUGCUAUGGACUAAUGUGGUUAUCUCCAUAUGGCAGGAAGUUGCUUGGUCGGAGGUCAUCUCCAUACUGGUGUAAUUCCAGGCAUGUUGCUGGUUUUAAUAAUAUAAUGACGAUAAUUGAUGUUCUAAAACUGGUAAGGUCAGUGUUCACUGGCUGCUACAUUUACUUGGCAGCCAGCUCAGCAGUAUUAACACGAAAUGAGGCACAAAUCCCACGUCCUGCUCCCAGGCCUGAUAGCAGAAUGGGCGCUCCAAUGAAUCGCAGUGCUGUUUACUCCUUUGGCACUCCUUUCUUGCUGACCUCUGCCCAGGUGUGCCAUGCAGCAGGGUAAGACGGGGUGAAGCCAGGGCCAACCUGAAAAGCCCUCACGUGGCAGUUUUGCCAUGACGAGUUAAUCACAGCAUUUGCUGGUAUUAUUCCAGACUUUUUUUUCCCCCUUUGGAUGUGUGCAGGUUCACAGAGUAAAGGCAGGACGACUGUUGAAUGUGUAUUAAUGGCUAUAAGAAAUAUAGGUCCCAGUUUGCCAGUUGUUCUGCCAGGUUCUCAGACAGGAAUGUUUAGGGAGCUUUUUCUCGGCAUGGUGCAAAGCCUGCAGCUAAGAAAAGAGCCCAGGGAAGAUAAUCUGCCUUUUUCCAUGUUCAGCAUUUCCCACCCGGUGUGAACCUAAAUCAUGUGGAUUUCACUACUGGCUCUGCAAUGUUACGGGGAGAUAAGGCGGUAACAACUCAUUUGUAUCCCCAGAUGAGAUAAACCAGAAGCACAUCUCCCCGUUUGUGAGUGGCUUCCUAUCAGAGGUGAGAAUAACUGCGCGGCACUAAGCUGGCAGUCAGCAGUGAUUAAUAAUAGUAAAUCUUUUGCAUAAAUAGAAAGGUGUCAUUGUGUGUAUUUCACUUACAGUGUUUCUAAUGUGUGUCUGUAAUUAAAUUACAUCUGGUUUUCUGUCCAAGAAAUUAAUGUGCACUUACAUAAUGUGUUGGUGCUCUUAUGUUCAGGAGGGGGAAAUGAGUGCUCUGCCUUUUCAAGUGGAGAUUGCUUCAUCCAUAGCUUUUUGGGGGAGUGGAAAUAGAUUUAUUCUAUCUUUGCACGUUCGUCUGAUUCGGUGCUGAAAUCACUGGAGCAAAUUCAGCAGCCCCGGAUGCCUUCAGUUCAGGAUCCCGUUCUGAAUGAUGAUGGAAGAGAAGAAGCGUGUUACUUUGUGCUAAGUAAGAGAAGGGGACUGUAUUGAACACCGAGUUUGCUCGUUUGAUUUGUAAGCAUAUGAAAUAGCCUGCCACAUUCUUCAACUAAGCACGUAAAUUACUUGAAUCGUGGUUGUGUGUUCUGUGUUUGCUGUUACCAUUGGAAGCAGUUUUAUCAGGCUUCAGUCCCUGUGGUACUCGAGAAAGUUGUAAGAAUGCAAAGCUAUCUGAAGGUCAUUUGCAAUCUUAACAGCAGAAAUUACUAGCUGCUGUCAGCUACUAUAAUGGUGUUGAUAUGUGGCGUAAUAGUUUUACAGUGAAAUGGGAGAUGUAUUGAAGGUAUCUGAAACAGAAGCAGAAAACGUGGCUUUGGUGUGCAGGCAGGAGGAUAUUUCAGUGUCAGCUCUGAACACGAUCCCCAUAUUACACUGAGACGCAACGACUCCUUAAUGAUGGAGGCUGCUGACAGUCAGACAGGCGCUUGGAAAUUCCUCUUCACCAAGUGUUUUGGAGGCAGCUGGCAGACUUCCAGAAGUGUUCUGCUGGAGCUGCACAGCAGGCACACUGAACUAGCCUUGGUUGUGUGCCAGUUCACUACGUGGCAGUGGAUCAGGAUUCUCCAGAGAGGCUCUGCAGUCUCCAUCCCUGGGAGACCUUCAAGAGCAGAGUGGUUGGUCCUCAGCUGUGAUCUCAUAGCUGACCUGGGCUAAGCGGGAGGUUGGAUUGGAUGACCUUGUGAGGUCCUUUCCAGCCACGGUUCUCCUGUGAUAACCUCCUGAGUAGGCUCUGCUUUACAUGGGAGGUGGGAGGAAUUUAUAAACCAUAAUGUUAGUUUAAUUUUUUCUUUUCACAGUGGGUUUGCCUUUUUGAAGUAUCCCACUAGGAAUUCUGCAUCUUGGCUCAGUCGUGGCUUGGAGAAUAACCGAGUGUUUCAGGUCAUUUCCCAGUGAGGGAAUACAGUGGGUUCCUGAACAAGGCGGGUAAAGGCAGCUGCUCCACCAUAGCCUUGCACUGCCUGCUUGGUGUUGUUUAGCAUAAGGCAUAACAGCCAGGGAGAAUUUCAUAAUUUAUUUUUUGAUGGCUCGUGCCAUAGUCAAAACAGAUGACAUGUCUGCUAAUCCUGCAUCCAGAUUGCUUUGGUGGGUUGGGGUGGGCAUUGCAUCAUUUUGUUCUCCUAAACUCUUGUGUUUUUUGUCGUUUAGGAUCUGCCAGAACAGCAGUGCCCUGGAAAUAUCUGACUGCACAAAAAUCAAAAGGAAAUUGGAGAUUGGCUUUGUUAAGGACACCUCCUGUUCUAUGGCACUGUCACUCAAUCGCUGUGUGGGAGUGCAUACAUUGUCUACAGGUGGUAGUGAGGAGGAGUCAAAGCUUCAGAGAGAGCUGCAGGAACAGCUGGACCUCAUAAGAGCUGCAAAAGAAGAUUCCCCAGCUAAAACAUGUCCAUGGAGAGCCAUAUGUGCAUAGCUGUUAGGAUUUUGGAAUCAGUGUGGUGGAAUGACAGGGAGAUGAUGGGUAAAUAUUAAUUGAGAGAGCAACCCCUGCCAAGAAAUUCUUUGCGAUCGUGUUACCUUCUCUUCAUGCAAAAUAUUUACCAAGUCAAAUACUGCCAUUUAAUUUACCAUAACUUGGUAGUCAUUACACAGGGACUUGAAGAGAAGGCCCAGCGGCCUGGCAGCCUCCUGGUGUGCCUUUGGGCUGUCCCAGAGGCAGUGAGACUGUCAGCAUGGCAGCGUGUGCUGGGAAGCUGCUUUCCAUUCUAUAUGCAGUAUCACAGGGCUGUGCUGAGCCAUGUGCCAAGCUGGCACCUCGUCCUGGCCACCUUUGGGCCAGGGGAUGGAAGGGUAAGAUGAGCUGAGCUGAUAGGUCUCUGUCAUCUGUCUGAAGGGCUUGCAGAAAUCUAGUGAAUGGGGCACCGUGUUUGGGUUUUCUUUCCAGAACUGGCAAUGCACAGGUGUAGGGUUGGUAGCAUGGAGAAGGCCAGACGAGGAAUAGAAAAAAGAGGGAAAGUUCAUUUUUGCAAUUAUUUCUGCACUUCUGUUCCUAAGACCUCUUGUUUUGUUUGUUUGUUUGUUUGUUUUGUUUUGUUUUGUUUUUAUGUUUCAUUUGCUUGGAGUCUGAGCUGGGAUAUCACAGGGAUGCUUCUCUCACUUCUGAUUCAGUAGAGUUGUAUUUCAGGCACUGAUUUGCAUUGACAGGCAGAAAAUACUUCUGUUUAAUUAGAAUAAAUCAUUUUAAAGUUGAAGAUGAAGAUGACCCUGGAAGAGUGCCACUCACAUCUUUAGUUGAUGCCUCAUGCCCACAAUUGAUGUGGGAACCCUAUUCCCAUGCCGACGGCACAGGCCAUGUGUGCACUGAGUAAUCACAAAUUUACACAUCAGCAUUACUCAACCUCCAGGCAGCGUGCGGUCAGUUUUCAUUUGCACUCUUAAAAUUGUUUCCAUUUAACACCCUUAAGCAGCUCUACGAAUUACAGUGAAAUAUAAAAUGACCCUCACAUUUGCUCUCCUGCUUAUUCAACACGACCGUUCCCCGCUCGGCGUGGCAGCGUGCUUUUCAUGUGGCUGCCCAUAUGCCCUGCACAUGACUGUGAUCUGGCUCCCAAAAGGGUAUGUUGUGAUCUGCUCGCAUGUGCCAAUUCACAUAUCUAAACGUUUUCAUAAGGGGAACCCCUUUGUGUUAGUCAUCUGGUUGUCAAACAAGACCUGGCUGUGAUCCUGGACCUGGCACUAGAUGAAAUAUGUGCACUUUAAACAUUUCAUACUGAAACUGAUGGGAAUGGGCAAUUCCUCAGUACAUUUUCUCAAGGUUUUUAAACAAUAAAUGUCAACCUAAGGGCAAAGCGAGACAGAUUUCAGAUUAAAGAGACGGGCUUUGCUUAACAUCUAUAAAUCCCUUAGUCCCAACCUCCUUCAUGGUUUUUCAAACAAGGAACAAGGAAAGGCUAUGUCAAGCGCGGUGGACACUUUUGUCAACACAACUUCUGCCUUUGGUAGCAUGAUAGAAAGAUUUCAAAAAUAGAUUUUUCUGAUGGAUUCAUGACUUGGCAUCCCGCAGAGAAUCUAGUAUUCUUCCAAGCAAAGCUAAAGGUUUGUGUUAGAAGGCUAGCAAAGCCAGUCAAAGAGCCUUUCAUCCUCAAGAUUACUAAAAUAUUCCUUUGUUUAUUUUUCUCCUUCAAUUACUUUUCCUGUCUUGGUUUAAUCUGUAGUGCUGAAGCUUGUCAGCACCUAUAGCCUUUUGUUUAGGAUAGAUGCCUUGGGAGCAUGAAUAAAAACAAUUUUCAUGUAGUGUCUCCUUGUCACAGCUGCUGCCUGAAGCCCAUCGACUUCUCUUUCCAAAGACCCGAUUAUGCACACACAAACAGAACAGAGCCUGGAGCCAGCAGUUUGAUAUUGCUUAAUGCCAGCGAUGAGCCCUCGUUAACCCGGUGCUCCAUCAUUUGCAAUAGAAGCAGCAAAUUUGUUUUCUCUCCCAGUUUCCAAAGAAAAAAAUGUGUCAGAAUGCUUGUCUUGACUGUAACUUAGUGAAAUGUUUAAAUAUUUUAGAAUGUAAAUUCUAGAAUUUGCAGCUGCGGGGAGAAGGAAAAUGAAACUUGUAUUUGGAAAAUUAAUUCUCAAACAAAAAUUCCCUGUAUAUGUUUUCUUUUUCCAGGAAAGUGAUUUCUUGAAACUUCAGCAUAUGCUUUUCAUUUGUGUGAGCUGGCACUGCCACGAGCCAGAGGAGGCUUGCAGCAAGCGGGGCCAUGCGGGACUGGCACCUGCUCGGCUGUGCUCGGGUGACUUCUGGACCUUCUGGUACUGUGAGUGAGCCGCACUUGAUGGAAAGAUGCUGAGCAUUUUUUCUUGACCCCAUGUCAUUGUGGAGUGGUUGCAGCUUGCUGUCACGGGCAGUCUUGUCUUGCAGAGAGCAGCAUAUCCCUGCAGAAAGAGAAAUGCUGUGGUAGCUCUAGAUGCAAGAGAAGCUUCAAGGAAAGUUUGCAUUUAAUUAUUGUUAGAAAUGUGCAGCAAAACAGAUUUCAUUGUUUUUAGCUCUUACAAAGCCAUAUGCCUAUGUCUCUGGGUUCCAAAACCACAUAACGAACAAAACAAAACAAACAAACAAAAGCAAGACCACAAGCAAGACCACAUAGCAGUAAUUAAAUGUCUCUGUUCCAGAAUAGGGUGCGUACUGUGAUCAAGACUGGCAGUAGCAGGGAAGCCAGGGUGCAUAGCUGAAGGAGGAGAGCAGACAGGAGCAAUGGGCAGGGUUUGCAGGGAAUGAGGAGCGUGGGUCUGUGUGCACCCUGGGAAGGGGCUCGUAACCAAGCACACAGUACUGGAACCUGCUGUGUGGUUGUUUGCAGCUGGAAAAAUGCAAUGGAGACAUGAUUCCUCAUGUAAUUCUUAGGUUGAAUCAGUUGGACCUAUUCUUUGCUUACUCAUUCAAAACUAUCAUUUUAUUCUGUCCCAGCGAGCUGAAGCAGACUGGCUUACUUCUCAUAGGGUGUCCAUCCAGCUGCCUUGAAGACAGCAGAAGGAACUAGAGAUUGUGGUCACAGUUCAGUGACUGAGUGAAGGGAUGAAGGUCAUUCCUCUCACUGAGACAGUCUCUUCAUACUCCCUGUCACCGCUUCUCUGCUCAGUGUUGUUCCUGCUAAUCGGGAUGCUUUGAAAUAGAGAGAGAGGAUAGUGGGAGGUGCAAGAAGAAAGACUGAAUUGAAGGCAGAAGAGAGCACAGUGGGGAUACAGACAGAAAAACAGGCUACGUGCUGAGCACAUUUAAAGGAGCACAGCUGGAACAGUGCUGGAGAGUAACAAAACUAUCUUUCCAUGUGUGUUUGCCUGUUCCCGUGUUAUUUUUCCCCAGUACUGCAUACAGCAUGGUUUCCCCACAAGGUUAAAGAUCACAAUAAUGUUUUAUGUAGGUAGCAGAAUACCCUGCGUGGAGGAAGUGGUACAUGAUUUUACUUAGAGAACAGAGAUUUCAUGGUUUUUAACACAUGCAAGGAAAUUUGUCUACUGGCAUCUGUUGCGGAGAUGGUAUCCCUUUGACACAAGUCAGGAAGCAAAAGCAUCUGUGGCUGUAAGGACAGUGCUUGCAGAAAACACUUGUGCAGAUAUCUUUAUUCAGGUCUGGUUCCCAUGUAGAAAGAGGCAUGUCCUCAGGAUGGCUGCUGAAUGCCAUCAGCACUGGGAGAGAAAAGAACAGAUGUAUGGCUGUAAACCGAGAUGUGAAAAAGCAGGAAUCUGAAGUUAGCUUGAAAGUUAUUUGGGCUGGGGUAUUGGUGGGAAGUGUCAGUGGGCAGCAGCUCAGAACCUGCAGUAACUGCUUGGCUGCCUGGCUCUUUCUUCAGCAAUCUCACUUGAGUGUUUUCAUGUGCAAGCAGAGGACACUGAUCUGCCCUGUCUUCCACACAUGUGCAUUCAUUCAGUGCAGUUACCUGUGUUGCUGUAGUAUACCUGCCCCUUUGGACUUGAGCACAAAUGUAUCAGGUAAAUGCAGGUGGAUGCAGCCACCGGUAAAGAAGUUGGUUUUUUUUUUCAUUGUGAUUGAUGCGUGGAUAGCAACCCUAUCCCAGUCUUACUAUUGGAUCAUCAGUCAAGACUUGAGGACUGCUGAAAGUAUGUCCUCAUCCCUAAGGUGUUGCAGUUCAGUGCUGGACCCGUCCAAGCUGAGACAAACUGAUUUUUGCAUUCAACAAAGCAAUGAUAGGACAAGAGGGCAUGGCCUCAAGUUGUGCCAGGGGAGAUUCAGGCUGGAUAUUAGGAAGAAUUUAUUUCCAGAAAGAGCAAUGAGGCAUUGGCACAGGCUGCCCAGGGAGGUGGUGAAGUCAUCAUCCCUGAAGGUGUUUAAAGAAAAGGCAGAUGUAGCACUUAGGGACAUGGUUUAGUGGGCAGUAUUGAUGGUAGGUGGAUGGUUGGACUAGAUGAUCUUAGAGGUCUUUUCCAACCCUAAUGAACCUGUGAUUCUGUGAAUGCAUGUGGAGUAUAUGACUGGCAGAAAGGACGGAUGUUGGGACGCGAAGCCUGAGUUCAGGUCUGAUACCAAAUGACUCCUGCAAAUUGGGCAGAGUAGGCUUCUGCUCUCUCCAUGCUUAAUUUCCUAACACUGUUUGGAGCUAGUUGGGAGCAGGAGAUAGUGAGCUGUCCAGAAAAACAACCAUUCCAGGUGCCGUGAUGAGUGUGGAGUAUACAGGCAUUGCACAGAAAGCAGUGACAGCAUGGUCUGCAUUAUCUGGUGAGGUGGUACAUCAUCUGCAUACCUGUGUGAUUCUAUAUGUGUGUAUCAGCAGCCUAUUGUUACAACGUGCUUAUGUGGCAAUUCGUUUGUGGAGUGUACCUUGUGCUGGUGUUCCACAGUAUUAAUGUUCUCAAGCAUGGGAAGACAUCUGUCAAGCAAGCACUAGUAAAUACCAUGCAGCUGUACUUUGUCAGGGUUCCAUUUUGCAUUUCCCUCUUUUCUCUACCUCAACACUCCUUCAGAUCACACUGACAUCAGUUGUGAUUAUGGCAAAAGAAGAUAACUCCUGUUAACCCUGUCAGAUGCUUGCAUAAGAUGAAGGCAUUUUCUUAAUGCACUCAUAAUCUAUAACCAGUUGUUUUUAAAGCCAUUUGAGAACCGUACAGAGAAGGCAUUUUGCAUUUGGUCAGUCAGAAGUUGGUAACUGUUUUAGAAGCCUGCUGGAAGGAAGACAUCAAGAAAAGCUUUUGCAAAGCUGUGUUUUCACCUCACAGUGCUUUGCAGAGAUGCAUUCUUGGGUUCGGUUCAUAUGGGUUCAUUUCUCUGACUUUCACUUUGAAUUUUGGAAUCAAAGGCAUUUUAAAAUUUUAGAUCAAACUUAUUAGAAAACACUGUAUCUCACCUGGUUUCAGCUCUUUAAGUAGUGAAAAGCAGUGCCUCCCCUGCUGUGAUCCUGAUACAAAUCUGUAAGUCAUCACGCCAGCGCGUUUGAAGCUGGGCCUAGCACUUCUGUCCAGAGUACAGCGUUGCUCAGAAAGUUCAUGGCUUCACCUUUGAACAGGGUGUUGCAGCGAAACAGGCAGCAGGCCGGAUUUCUGGGUAGAUGGCAAAGACAGCACCCAGCUUUCAUUUUGGGGAUUUUCCUAGCAUAAAGCUGCCCGAGCCAGAAGGCAGUUUGCGGCCACAGAUCCCUGAUUUUGCUCCUUUGAAUCACAGCUGGUGUCCUUUUGGGUGCAUCAGACGUGUUUGCUUCUGUCCUGGAGGCCGACAUUCAGCCAUCAUGGCCGUGGCUAAGGUCUCCAUCCUUGCCAUAUAGACUGGAGUCUGCAGCAGUAGGGCUUAGAACUUGAUACAAGCCUGAAGGGAGAGUUAUGAGCACAGUGACUGACAGCUCACGACUGUCUGAUAUGUCAGACCUCUGAGACCAGGUCUGGGAGGGAGGGUGAAUACAGUACCUGGGGAGCAGUCCCUUCCCUUCCUCCUGCUGGGGGGCAGUGGGGCUGGGCCUGUCCCUGCUGCCCACCCUGCCCUCCAGAGCACAGCUGCCCCUGCGGUUUCCGGGAAUCCCCGCCUGUAUGUGGUUUCUUAACCAGUCCUGCAAAAAUGUAUUUUUUAUUGAAUGUUAUUCUAGCCAUAAAACUUUUAAGCUGUUCAAAUACUUUCCUUUGUGCAGUAGACAUCUGAGACUAUUAGGCAUUAACAAGUAAAUGUACUUUUUUUUUUUCAACUGCUUCAAUCUGCUAAGGAGUUUUCUUUGGACUGAUUCUCCUCUAGUGUUGUACCAGAGGAAACAUUACUGUGAUCUGAUAUCAUAUCUCCUCACUAUCUGUCUCCUCAGAUUGCAGAUGUGGAUGUGUUUUAUGUUGAAUUACAAAGGGACUUUAUUUUGUGGUAACCAGUUAGGUCAAACAGCUCACCCAUGGUCCAGAAGUGCUUAAAGCCCAGAGGUACCGAUGUGAUUCACGGCAGUCCCUCUGUAGAGCCCAUAGAGUGUGGGGUGAGAGCGUGGGCUUCAGUAAAUCUCAGCUGGAAGAUUUUAGGAGGUGAAUUUCACUAUUUCUUGAGCUAUUUAAUAAUGACUAUAAUCCAUUUUUUAACACCUGUCACAGGAGCUUCAUGUCACUGGAGCUGUUGACUUUAAUGUACUUCAUUACUUGUAUAACGGCAUCAUCUGUUGUUGGCAUCCAAUUAAGUGACAAACAGUGAGAAGGAUCCUGCCCCAAACUGUAUGAGACAGGAAGCAAGCAGCAUUCUUGUAGUUGUGCAAACAGUUAAAGCAGUGCCAAAAUUUGCUUAACAUAUUCCGGAUCUUAUUGAAAUGCUUGGCCUAGUAUGGUUAACUAUACACCUGAAUUGGGCUGUAGACGCUUAUUUCAUUGGCCUGAUAUUCCUGUUGGUAUUCCUGUUGAGGGGACUCUUUUCUUGGGGUUUCAGGAAAGCUCCUUGCUGGGGUUGCUGGGAUCAGUUCUGCCCCGACCACCCACAGCCCAGGCAGCAUCGCUCUCAAGUAAGGCUCAUUCCAUAGCAGGUGCCAGAGGCUUGCCCAGGGCAGGCUGCUCUCAGCCUGUGGAAGAAAGCUGUGUAACACCUCUUAAUCUGUACGUAAUGGUUUGGAUAAGGAAACUGGUAAUCUGAAAACAUUUAUCUGGUGAUGCUUUUGAUUCGUAUGCCUGAGUGAAAUAUUGUGAACUGCUCCCAGUCCUGUAAAUGCAAGGCAAUUAGACUAUGAGGUGAAGUAUAAAGAGGAAUUUGAAGAGCACCAUGCCAGUGAUAAAACCCGUAAAACCCUUGCACAUCCAUCACCUGUGUUGUGGAUGCAGUUCUAAUCCCUGUAUUUUAAGAAGGGCAUUGGGGAAUUAAGAGGCAUUACAGUAAAGAUGAUCGUGGGGCUGAGGCAGCUGUUUUGGGGGGGAGAUGAGGGGUGGUUGUUGGGCAAGGCAGACCCAACAGGGCACUUGUGAUUUCAGCCUGCAGCAACAUAGGUAAAGUAGCUCUCUUCUCUGUUGGACAGAAUGACUGGAGGAGAAUUCUUGGGCCUUUUAUUCAUUAUUUACAUGGCUUUUGUGUCUGCUGGCGUAGUGUAGCGUAACCCAGAAUGCGUAAAAUACAGUGAAGUUGAAAUAUGUGUGAAUUUAAUGCCUGAGAAACAUAAAUCAUGUCAUGCAGGUGAGAUGCAUUGACUGAAUCAAAUGCACUGAACUUCAGAGCCAGUCCUUCUUUGGAAGCACGUUAAGAACUGUCCACUCCACUCUUCUCAGGGCAUUGUUGUGUGCUCUACCAAAUGAGAUUCUCAAUUCUUCUUGGAAAAAAAAAAGAUUUUUGUUUCCUAUUCUGUCUUCGAGUCCAUCUUUGCAAAGAAGCAACAAGUCUCUGAGAGGGGGAGAUGCUGGUGAGGCUUCAUCUAAAUCAGGCAGGUUUAUAAGACCAGGAGGGAAAACACAUUUUCAGACACGGUCAAACAGAGGAGCUGGAUGAUUUCGUCUUUGUCCAUUCAUAACAAUGACGGAACAGAAACUAAAAGUUGAGCUUAAAAGAGCAAAAGCUUUGGAAAGGAAACUUGCUCAUGGCUUCAGAGCUGGCUUGGAGUAUGUAGGCAGGAAGCCUGGAGCUUUGUAUGGGAGUUUGGUUUAACCCUAUGAAAAACAUCAUGGAAGAGAGCUGUGGGAACUUCAGCAGUUUUCUGCAGAGUUGAACUAGGAAAGCCAGGAUAGGUUUAAGCAUCAAGGCAGUUUUUUUUUUUUUCCAGGAAAGCAGAGUUCUAAAAUAACACCUCAGAGGUGUUUGUAGCAUUGGAUUUUUCAUUCUUAACUUCUUAUUCAAGAAAAAACUUUGAUUGUUAUGUGUAGGAUUUUCAGUGUUUGUAGCUUAUUACUUGUUUUGCAUGUGAACAAUUUCAGUCAACACCUAAAAAUUUGUUUAUGACAGUUUUGCCACCUGUCCAGUGGGAACUGCUUGACUUUUUAACCAGCCGUUGACUUGCAGAACUGCUUCCAUAAGAUGCAGAAAGGAUUGGAAGGUGUUUUCCUACAGACAGAUUACAGCAACAUCUUUAAUUUCAAGCCUGUUAGCAGCUGAUAGCCUGUUAUCCCAUAGCCUUUACACAGACCUUGACUCUCAUAACCCUCACAAUUAUUCUUCAUCCCACAAAUGUUAAUAUUUACUAUAUAGUCAAUCUCCAAACCACAGGGAGUCAUUUGCAUGCGUGGUAUCACUUGCACUUCAACUAAAUAAAACCAUUAACCUUUCACUGAUACACUUAGGUCAUAGAAGUCACACUUGUAUGGGUUGUGUAGUUUGGGUUAACGCUGUAACAUUCCCUUCUCACCCUUACAGUACAGCACCUCCUGAGCGUGGCAGCCCUGACACUGAUGCUGAACUUGUGUGCCCUGUCCCAGGCGGGGACUGGCACUGGAGCAGGUCGCACUGAGCCAUAAUUGUAAAUUCUCUGGGGCUGGAGUCACCAGCCAGUAAUCCUCUAUGCACAGGCUCCCCCUUAUGGAAAUGAAAGAUACUAAACAAUGCUUUUUUCCUCUUGUCUCAGACAAAACUAAUAGUUUAUUACUGUGAAGACACUUCUCAAGCCUGCAGUAGUACUUUUCAACUUAAAGUUUUAAGUUCGGGUGAUGAUGGAAUGGAUGUAGGCUCACCGUGGCAAACAUGAAUGAUGAUGACGCAUGUAUGUGUUUAUACUCAAAGUGAUAAGAGCUCCUUUGGAGGCUGGAAUUUCUUGUGAUUUCCUGAUGGUGAAGAAGGGAACAGGAGCUCUUCAGAUGUUAAGAGAUGCUGCAGAGUAAAUCCUAGCUGUAGCCUCCUCUGUCUUCAGAGGAGCAAAAGAAAGUCAGUGGGAUCAAAUAAUUUAGUUCUGGAAUAGUUAUAUUUUGAUGCUCUACAGUGGAUAUUUUGGAUUGGAUCCUGAUGGAUCAGAACCAUUGGAAGAGUUAGAAAUAGACACCGUGGAUUUUUCCCUUAGCCAAUUCUAGUAAAAAGUUUCAAGUUGUUCCAGUGAGACACACCAUGUGUAGAUUUAGAUAUGCUCUUGCCUUCUUACUUUUAUUUUGCGUGAAAGAUGGUUCCCAGCUUCAUGAAAGCUAUGUGAGAGCAGUUACAGUUCUGUGCUCAGCCUAUUCUGACACUCUAGCACAUGUGCAUGACAACAGUAGGCUAGACAGAGCUUUGGAUUUGCUCAGUGGGGCAGUUCUUGUGACUGCAGGAUAUCUCCUAGUGCCAAAGUACCAUAGUUGGAGCUGAUGCUGAUCAGCAUCAUCUCACUGAUGUCCUGUGUUCUGGUGAGAGGCUCUGAUAGCUUGUGUGAGUUGGGGUGACAGAGCAGUUCUUUCUUUUGCGAGACCAACUUUCUGUUGGCGUAAGCCAUAUAAAUGGGUGUUGUUCAGACAACACCUGAAGGGUCUGCCUGGCUCCCUAACAUCAAAAUCACAUGGGGAGAUUGCUUAAACAUUUAAAGUACUGUUGAAGGUACAUUAUUAGUAACAACAAAUAGUAUUGUUAGUUUUUAUAGUGCUAGUAUUAAUAGUAUCAAACACAUUUAGAAUAUAUUGAAGUUGCUGGUCUGGGCCCUCACCUCACAGAUGAAGUCAUUCCUGUACCAGAGAGAACAGGAGGCACACGUGUCCCAGGGCAGGAUCUGAACUGGAGAGGCACAUACUGGUUUUGCUUUUUUUUCCCCCCCCAUUUUUAGAUUUUAUUAGUAUUAUUGAUUUGUAUUGUUCUUCUAACUUGUUUAUUACCCAGUUUUGAAACCAAGAUCCUAGUGGAGCUACUGGAGUGGACUUUCAUGCUGAACUUGAGUCCUUCUUCCCAUCCAAACUAAAGUAUUCUGCAAGGCAUGGCUCACACAGUGCUUGCAGCCUUUCUGCUUUGCCCGUGUGCUGAAUGAGGUUCAGGCCUUUGUGGGCUCAAUGUGAUGCCCUCCUGUGUUCCUGGUCUCAUUUCAAUGCUGCUAGGGAAAUUGAUUUUAAUUACACAUGCUGCUGAUCACCUAAUCUCAUAAGGGGACAUGGCUGAGAAAUAAAGAACCCAGAAAAAGGAAACUAAUUUAUGCACUCUGGGGACAGGAGGAGUGAUUUGAGUGGUGCAUGGGAAGAGGAGUGCUGGAGAGCAAAAAGAAGCUGAGAUGAUGGAUGGUGUGAUUAAAAACUCUGAUGUUUCUCAGUACAUUCUCCCUUCAUUUGCUUAAAGCAAACACCAUUUCAGUUUUCUCUGGCGGCAUCUUUGGGUUUUAUUUUAUGCAGUCAUUUUUAAUGUACUUUGCUAUCUGGCCUUGCAGUUGUAGGCUGUGUUCUGCAAACCCAACUGAACCAAACUGACAGUGGAGGGCCCAUUGCCUGAGCAGCACAGUUCCAGUUUUGUGUUUGAGAUCAGUUCUCAAGCACAGGGAUUGCACUGCAAAGGCACUCGGGGGGACCGUGAUGCCACCCAGACAAGUCUCAGUGUGCCCAGUUUCUCCGUCCCUCAGCGGUCCUCUCUGCCCAGCACCGAGCAAAGGCCGUGCCCGCAGCCUGCCAGGCUGCCGUAUGCCCGAGUCCCUCCCCGGGGCUGAGGCCUGUGCUGGGCCUCACCCCGCGGGGCAGAGCCGUUCCCUCUGGGGAGAGCGGAGGGGACCCGGCAGGCCCAGGGCAGACUUAGGAGUGCUGACAGUGGAGAGGCGCUGACUGCUUUGGCUUUAGAAAAGAGCUUUAGGUCUUUAUUAUCGUUACAAUUUGGUACUGUCCUUUUGAAUUGCUUCUUGUCCUGGUUUGACACAAAAGUCCCAGUGGAGCAGCUGGAAUGGACCUUCAUGCUGAACGCGAGUCCUUCUUCCUGUCCAAACCAAAGUCUUCUGCUUCUCCAAUGGAAGCUGCCUCUGGACCUUCUCUGGUGCUGCCUGGAGGCUGCAGGAGCUCGGUGCCGUCUGCUGGGCUCCUCCCAUUGUCCCGGCACAGCAGCUGACAGGACAUCAGUCCCAGUGCUGCCCUCUUCUUCAGGGCUCCCCUGGAGGCUGCACGGAGGUCAGGGCUGUCCGCUGGACUCCUCCCAUUGUCCCUGUGAGGAAGCAUAGAGGACACCAUUGCCAGCCAUGCCUUAUUCCUCAGGGCUCCCCUGGAGGCCCCAGGGAGCUCAGGGCCAUCCACUGGACUCCUGUUAUCCCAGUGCAGAAGCUUAGAGGACUCCAGUCCCCGUUCUACCCUCUUCCUGAGGUCUCACCUGGAGGCCGUGGGGAGCUCAGGGCUGUCCACUGGACUCUUUUCAUUGUCUUGGUGCAGAAGCAAAGAGGACACCAAUCCCAGUCCUGCCCUGUAAUGGAAAUGCUAAGUCAUGGCCUGAAGUAGUGAUUGAGCACAUGGUGAGAAGGCAGGGCCAUCCCAGGGGAGCUCAGGUGCAAGCAAUGCUCCUGAGUGACUGGAAGGGGUCAAGCCAGGAUCCACCCCUUCCCAGACCUCACUUAAGGGUUGGCAGUGGAGGUAAGAGCAUCUCUUCCCUGAGAUCCCUGCCUUACCUGAGGCCUUCCAAAGGUAAGCAGCUUUUUUCCUUUGUUUCUGCAUCUGUGUCUGCUCCUUUUGGGCUCGUUCUCAUUUUCUGAAGCCAAAGAGGUCUUGGGGAAGGAUGCAGAUGGGGAAGAAGGGGUUCUGGAGAGCAGCAGCUGCCCAGGGGCUCUCUGGUGGAUGGUGACUCUUCAACGCCAAGAUGGAAAUCGAGAGCCCCUGCUGCGCUGCCAACGGAUAUAGCUAUGUCUCCAGGCAAGCAUGUUGUUAUAGUGCUUGCCUGGGCCUGAUGGAGACGGAUCCACCUCCAUGGGUUCAUCCUCUGGAGGCAGGUCCACCUCCAUGGGCUCGACAUCGCCCUUUGGUGGGCCUGUGUUGAUUGGUUUGGGCUCACUGCUGCUCUCCAGAAGCCUCUGCUUCUUUGGCGGAGGAGGAUUCAUCCUCCUCCAUGACACUUCCCUCAGUGGGAGUGAAGGAUCUGUUUAUUGAGCUCCUGCUCUCAGGUGGGUGCUUCCUCGACAGAAGUCGGUCAGCGACUGGUGUUCUGUUGUCAGGGUCCCCGUGUCUAUGGCAGUCAGCAGGGACGUGGCUCGUGGCAUCAUCUGUCCCUGGCAAUGUGACCUGAAGGCCCUGACAACCAGAACAUGGCAGCGUUGUGUGAGGGGAGGCUAUGGCCUGACAGUUGUCCUACUUGUCACCAGUGGGUUUCUGCAGGGCUCCAUUUUAAGGUCCUUUCUCUUGAAUAUUUUCACUGUGAUUCCAAUAAAGAUCUGGCAGUUGUAUGAAGUAAAGUUGGGGCUGAUGUUAAGCUGGGAGGAGUGUUGACUUUUCUGUGAGUAGAGAGGCCUUGCGCUGAGAUCUGGACAAAUGUGAGGUUGGUUCCCAUCUGCAUGAGGAAGAACAUGAGCUGGACUCUGCUCCUGGGGUGGGGCAGCCCUGGCUGUACGUACAGACUGGGGGCGAUGGGCUGGAGAGCAGCCCUGAGAAAAGGGUUCUGGGCAUUGUGGUUGGUGGCAAUUUGGAUGUGAGCCGGCAGUGUGCCCUGGCAGCCAGAAGGGCCAACCAUACCCUGGGCUCGUCAGGCCCAGAACUGGGGAAGCGAGGGAAGCGGUUUUCCCACUCUGCUCUGUGCUGUGCGGCCGCACCUCCAGCCCUGGGUGCAGGUUUGGGUGCCACAACAUAAGAAGGACAUAAAGCUAUUAGAGAGUCCAAAGGAGGGCUGCAGAGAUGGUUGUCCUGCGUGGAGCCGGGGGUUGGACUUGAUGAUCCUGUGGGUCCCUUCCAACUUGGGAUAUCGUGUGAUUCUGUGAUGAAGGGGGAAGCAGUGGGGGGGAUGGGCAGGAGAGGAGGUGCUCUUGUGGUAGUCUGUAUCUGUUGAAGAGAACUUGCUGCAUUCCUCAUUUUCCAUUUUAUGGACUUCUUAGGUUGAAGGGCAGGGAGGAGUGGGGCAGAAGCUGCAGUAAAUGCAUCUGAUGAGGAUAUAGGAAGUGGUUGGCUCUUUCUCGUGCUGCAAGCUGUGGCUCCCUUCCUGACAAACUGGGCAGCGAGCACUCUCUGCAGUGUCCCAAACCUUAUUCGAUAAUUUUGAUUGACCAAGAAAGACGGGCCAGUUGUUUUUAAGUGUGUAACUAAAGUGCAUGCAUCAGCAUAACAUGAAAAUAAAAGAAAUAGUAAGCACUGCUGGUGUAGGAGGGACAUUGCUGAGACUGCAACAUUAAAGAGCAGCAGAUACAUCUUAACUUUCUCUCCAGGGUGCUCUGAAUAUUUAAUGCUGUUAUAUAGACUAGUUCAACCUGAAAGUUAUGUCAGAGGUUCAUUUUGCACCUUUUCUCUAGCUAUGGUGGCAUGUGCAGUGAAAGCAGAUUGAGUAUUUUUAACUUAAAACGAUGACAAAUUUCACAUUCAUACUGGCAGAGUGUUGCAGCUUUCUCACCCAUUGCCUGAGCUGUUUGGCUUGCCAAGUAUUGAGAGAGAAUCUAAUACCACCCAUAAAAAGUACCCACCAAAAUAUCUGUUUCUCAUUCCUUUAUUGUCACAAUGAUUUUGUUCACAGUGAGCACCAGUGCUCCAUUGGGGUUGGACUCUGCUGCUGCAAAGUUGUCUCUGCUGGGAAAAAGAAAUGUUCCUGGUUCACGCCUUCACUUUGCCAAAGGAUCCACUCAUACGCAACGUGGAAGGUGCUUUCAGUGAAGGAGGGCAAACUGCAUCGCUGCUGUUGUGUGGCUGGAGCUGCUGUGAGGCAGGAGCUGGGCCUGGCCCUGCUGCUCUCUGAGCCCCAUCACAGCCAUGUAGGCCUUUGUGGUACUGGUAAUGGUUAAAAGCAGGCAAGAACAACUAUGGUUGUUUCAGAAAUGCUAAGGACAGUAGUAGGAUGGCUGUAGCAAUCUGGAAGCGAUGCCUGGAUUGAUGGGGCACCCAGUUACUCACGGUGACAGGGCAGCUAAGCCGGCAGGCACUGCCAGUAAAGGUGAGAGUUAGAAGAGGCCAAAGCAUUUGUAGGUGGCUUCCAAUUAAUUCUUUUAAUUCCGUGAUUUUGUGACACUAAGCCACUUAUGAAUUUGCUGGAGAUUUGCCAUUUGUUUCCUGUGCUGAGGAGAAAGGAAAGCCCCUGGACCUAAGACCACUUUGCCUAAGCGCUUCCAAAGCAUGGCAUUCCUGUUCUUAUUUCCUAUCAUAGAAUCACAGAAUGCCCUGGGUUGAAAAGGACUGCAGUGAUCAUUGAGUUCCAACCCCCUGCUAUGUGCAGGGUCACCAACCACCAGACCAGGCUGCCCAGAGCCACAUCCAGCCUGGCCUUGAAUGCCUCCAGGGAUGGGGCAUCCACAGCCUCCUUGGGCAACCUGUUCAGUGCGUCACCACCCUCUGUGUAAAAGUCUUCCUCUUAAUAUUGCAUUCAUUUAAACACAUAUAGAAAACUUCUUCCCAUUUGGAAAAUACAUGUUGCUUUGACAGCAAAAUAAACCUUUUUGCUUUUUGUUUCCUGGCACUCUUUGGAUGGGUUUGAGGAUUCUGGGUGAAGGCAGCAGUGCCCAGCAGUGCCUGGUGCUAGGCUCUAGCAGCACUCAGUGCAGACUCGUUAUGCCUGACAUCCUUCCC
ensembl:lncRNA